rnacentral:rRNA from 1 species
UACGUAGGGUGCGAGCGUUGUCCGGAAUUAUUGGGCGUAAAGGGCUCGUAGGCGGUUUGUCGCGUCGGCUGUGAAAACUCGGGGCUCAACCUCGAGCCUGCAGUCGAUACGGGCAGACUAGAGUGCUGUAGGGGAGACUGGAAUUCCUGGUGUAGCGGUGAAAUGCGUAGAGAUCUGGAGGAACACCGAUGGCGAAGGCAGCCUUCUGGGCCAACACUGACGCUCAUGCACGAAAGCGUGGGGAGCAAACAGG